rnacentral:rRNA from 1 species
UACGUAGGGUGCGAGCGUUAAUCGGAAUUACUGGGCGUAAAGCGUGCGCAGGCGGUGCUGUAAGACAGGCGUGAAAUCCCCGGGCUUAACCUGGGAAUGGCGCUUGUGACUGCAGUGCUGGAGUGUGGCAGAGGGGGAUGGAAUUCCGCGUGUAGCAGUGAAAUGCGUAGAUAUGCGGAGGAACACCGAUGGCGAAGGCAAUCCCCUGGGCCUGCACUGACGCUCAUGCACGAAAGCGUGGGGAGCAAAC